rnacentral:lncRNA from 1 species
ACAAUUGUUGCUAAAAUAUACCCUUGACUUAUUUAAAUUGACAGCUUGUCCGGAUGCAUAGCAAUACUGGUUAAGUGUAAGUGUCAAACUCUGACAUUCCACUAAAGUUCCAUCCAGAAAAAAGAUAACAUCGUCAGCAAAAAGUAAGUGAGAUAGCUUAGGACAAAACCUGUUCAGCUGUAUGCCUUUGAUGCUGCCUUCUGCAAUUUCUUUUUUCAUCAGCCAUGUUAAUACAUUUGAGAUUAAGAUGAAUAAAUAUGGCGAAAGGGGGUCGCCUUGCCUGAGACCUCUCGAGGGGUUGAAAAAAAGGGUGGGUUCUCCAUUAAUCUUCCCAUUGAAUGUCACCGUUGAUAUGCAUUGCAUGAUAAGGGACACCCACUUGGCACAGAAACCCAUUUUCAGCAUACAAUCCCGUACAAAAUCCUAUUCAAUUCAGUCAUAUGCUUUCUGCAUGUCGAGUUUUAAUACUGCCUGAUAUUUUUUCUUUCUCUUUGUGAUGCGCAGCUGAUGCAACACUUCCUACACUAUUAAGAUGUUGUCCUGUAUCUGUCUGCCUUGAGCAAAGGCGCUUUGCUCUGGUUCUAUAAUAUCUGGCAGCCACUUUUUUAAUCGGUUUGCUAAUAUCUUUGAGAUAAUUUUAUAACUGAAAUUGCAUAAACUGAUGGGUUUGAAUUGGAAAAUUGUCUUGGGAUUUUUUACUUUGGGAAUCAAGGAAAUAUGUGUUUGAUUAAGGACAGGAUCCAGAGUACCUGUGUUGAAAAAGUUCUGCACUAAGUGGAACAGGUCAAGCUUUAGAAUUUCCCAUGAUUUUUGAUAGAAAAGCCCGUUGAAACCGUCAGAGCCAGGAGCUUUUAAAGCUCCUAAUUGAAAGACUACUGCAUGAACUUCCUCCAUCGUUGGUUUAGCCACUAGAUCUUCAUUGAUGUUCUCACUAACAGGAGAAAGACAUUGGUUAAGGACAGGCUGGUAGUUUCUCGGCCCUUCUGUUUUAUAUAAAUUUUUGUAAAAGGAUUGAAUAUGAUUUCUGAGUGCUACAGGAUCACGACACCAACUGUUGUCUUCCAUUUGCAGCAUUGUUAUGUUAUUUCUCUGCCUCCUUUGUACAGUUGUUGCAUGAAAGAAUCGGGUAUUUUUAUCACCCCAUUGCAGCCAUUUUAUAUGUGACCUCAUGCCCCAAAAUUGUUCUUCCCGUUUCCUCAGUGUCUCUCUAUCUGGUGUAUAAUACUUUGAACCUCCUUCCUGGUUGUAGACGGGUCUAAUUGAUUGGUUAUCUCUGUUAAAGUCUGAGUGAGCUCUUUUAUCCUCUUAGGUGCAUUGGCAAACUUCUAUUUGCUCCACUUUAUCAAUCCUUUUGAAGUCUCCUUUAGUUUCUCUGAGAAAUUGGCCUGUUGAGAAGCUAUUUGGCUCCAGG